AGAAGCUAUCAUUGUGUGGCCACCCGUUAUAAUUGCUAGAAUAAUGGCCAUCAAAAAUGGCCUAGCCCAUUUUCUUGAAUACAAGAAAAAGUCUGAUAAAAACCCAGCUCCAAAACGAGCCAGAGAAUUCCACAUGCUCCAUAGAGAAACCAAAGUAUUAAUCUCAGUGGCUUUGUAAUUAAGUGAUUCUCCUACUUGUCUGACAUUAUUUGUUGUGGCGAGCCCUGAACCUCUUCCACAUGCUAUGCAAACAACCAGCAACCAGAAGUUUAAGGUCCUAAUGGCUUGGAAGAGAUUCAUGUGUUCUCCAAUUUGAGAGGAUAAGGAAUCCACUUGACCUGCUUCUUUGUCCAUUGAUGGAGUCACUUCGAUUGAACAGGUUUGGGGAAAUCUCUCUGAGUCCUUCCUCAGGGCUUUGAUUGCAAUAGCAAGUGGUGAGGCAAGGAGAAAUAGAAGAAUAGCAAGGUAGCAAUGCGUGCCUAUAAUGGGAACUUGAAAAUAUUCUCCAGAAUUAUUGUGACUAAGAGAUAGAAUGCAAUGAUCAUGGCAACCACAGAGAACUGUUUCUUGUCUUCACCUGCGUUAUUUUCAUAACUUCUCACCAAACACAUGAGCAAGAGAGAAACUGGAGUUGGUGACAACGCAAUAAUGAGAAAGAAGGUACUGGGCUUGCCUUGGCAUAUCGUGUUAUAAAUUUGAAUCAAUAUGGCCGCACUUAGACCUUGAAAGCCCUGGCAAAAUGGAACAUAAGAAGGAAAACCUGAAUAGCUAGUAGGUAGAACCAAAAGAAACUCCUAUUAUUAAAAAGAAAAUCAAUUCAAGGAAAGUUUCAGAAAGAGUUCUCCACCCCUAUCUGGAAGCAUUACAUAAGGCAGUGAAGUGGCAAAGAAAGAGUUCUCCACCCCUAUCUGGAAGCAUUACAUAAGGCAGUGAAGUGGCAAAGAAAGAUCUCAUUCCCUAAAGCUCUUCCAAAUCAAGGUCCAAAUAAUUUUACUGGUGCAUCUUUUUUUCUUUGUAUGAAAAUAAUUUUAAUCCAUCUCUGCAAAUAAGAGGAUCCAAAUUCCUUAUUGUUAUCUUGAGGAUUUACCUUCAUAAUACCCACAACAGUGCCUAUAUACUUGGGAAAGCUCUGAACGCCAAUAACAACAUUAGCAGUAUCAAAAAAUGGCUGAGCAUGAGCUGCUGCUAACAUGUACAAGCACAUCAACAGCAUGGGCAGCCGGGAGAGAAAACCCACGACUGAGGCCCACAUAAGGAAGUACCCAGUGAAACACUGAAUUGCUCCAACCAUGUGCACCACCCACGGUCCACCAAAGCCAGCACCAUCUCUUGUAACGGCUGUGUAGAGGAGCCCAGAAAGGAUGCCACCAUUGUCUCCUAUGUCCUUAAACACCGAUACCAUGUCAAGCUCCGAUUGAUUGUAGCCUUCGCUGGAUUUCAGGACUGAAGAGUAGAUGCUGAAGGUCAGGGUAGCACCUGUGCUGCACUGAAUCAGUAUGCUUGCAACUGUGGCAAUCCAUUUGCUUAGAAGCCUGUCCAUGCAUGUCCCUCAUGUCUUUCUACGUGUUUAGGCUUCGUCCUAGCCAUAUGUUUAAUUUGAAUAUGCAUAUAUAGUAAAGAUUUUGGUUAUGGCCAAUAAAAGUUGGAUAGUCUUUGUUUACU
rnacentral:misc_RNA from 1 species